rnacentral:rRNA from 1 species
AUUGAACGCUGGCGGCAUGCUUUACACAUUCAAGUCUAACGGCAUCGCGUGCUUCGGCCUGGCCGCGCGUGGCCUACGUGUGAGUCAUACAUCGGAACUUGCCCAGUAGUGUGGGCUCGCUCGUCGACAGCCGGAUUAAUUCCUCAUACGACCUGCGGGUGAAAGCGGUGGCUCUUCGGACCUCGCGCUAUUGUAUCUGCCGAUGGCAGAUUAGCUAGUUGUUGGGGUAAAGGCCUACCAAGGCGACGAUCUGUAGCUGGUCUGAGAGGACGACCAGCCAAACUGGGACUGAGACACGGCCCAGACUCAUACGGGAGGCAGCAGUGGGGAAUUUUGGACAAUGGGCGAAAGCAUGAUCCAGCAAUGCCGCGUGUGUGAUGAAGGCCUUCGGGUUGGAAAGCACUUUUGGCGGGAACGAAAAGGACUGGGCCAAUACCACGGUUCGAUGACGGUACCCGCAGAAUAAGCACCGGCUAACUACGUG